ensembl:lncRNA
CCGAACCCAUCCCGGCGAGCAGCUUCAGCAGAGAUCGGGCCUCCAGCCUGGGCCCGCGGCCGGGACUCCGCACCCCCGGUGCAGAGCUGGGGAGGGGAAACCAAGUCACGGAAGGCCGGUUUGUGGUCAGGCUCUCCACAGUCUCCUGAGAGUCAUGCGGACGAGGCCUCGGCCAGUGGGGCCCCGGAGCAGACAAGUCUCGGUUCGUGGUGCACCCCGCCGUCUUCUCCCGGCCACCUGCGGGCACCCCCAGCGCCCCACGGUGGGCCCAGCCGGCCCGCCUCGCUGGAGGGACCGCAGAUCCUCCUGUGGUCUCACUGCGAUCCCUCAUCCUCGCUGAGCCUCCGCAGGGAGCCCUGAGCGGCCCCGUCUGUCCUCUCCCAGUUUCCGCCUCCGAGCUUCCUCCUGGAAACCCCAGCGAAAUCCCCCGGGGCCGGGGCCUCCUCACUGCCCGCCUGUCCGGACCCCGCUGGCCGCUGGCCGAGCCUGAUCGUGGGUUUUAGUUUGGCCCCCACCUCGGACCGCCCGGUUUCCCUAAGCUCUGCAGUUUUCUCAUAAAAGUUGAGAGGCAGCCCGAGUGACACCCCCCCCCUCCGCCCCGUCCUGUCCGCCAGCCUCGCUGUGACCCCCCGGGGCUGCUUGCAUCAGUCUUCACCUGUGAACUCCGCCUCAUACCCUCUUCAUUAGGGCCUCACUGCAGGUGAAUUAAGAUCAUACAGACCUGGUCUACGGCACGGGCCCAGUCGAUUUUAGUGAUUUAGUCUUAAAGAAGGUGGGAGUGGCAUGAGUGUAGACUGAGAUGUGAAAGAACAUUUCAAAUUCCUCAUCUGAACUGAAAAGAAGAAAGAAAAGCCUGGAGUGGUGGCACAUGCCUGUAGUCCUAAAACUUAGGAAGCCAAGGCAUUGCAAGUUUGAGGCCUGCCUGGGCUACAUAGUAAGACCAUGUCUCAAAAAAAAAGGAAGGAAAGCAAUAGCAACCCCACUGUACUGAAGAACAAAUCUGCCCGCUCACGAAGUAGAACAGGCACGGGGCCUUGGGUGAGUUUCCGUCCACUGCCUCCUGCCAGGCAAUGCUGAGGAUCCUGGUUUACAGAGACUUUGAUCUCAGCAGGCUCACUGUGCAGUGGGGUGAGCAGACAGACAUCAAGGCCUUGCUGUGACCUGCUCCUCUGAAGGACGCAGGGGCCCCCAGCCCAGCCUGGAGAAGUCAGAGGUGACCUCAAGUAGCAGCCAGAUCCCGGGAGCUGAGGAGGAUCCACACACUGGGACAGAAAUGGUCCAUGCUGUGUGACUGAAGACUGUAAAAGAGCAGCCUCAUACAGAAGCUUUACCUGAGAGAAGUACUGUGCUGUGCAGGUAUGGAUGCAGGUGUGUGUUUAUUUGGAAGGAUCGUCCAGGGCAGCUUUCUCAGCUUCAGCACUUGGACAGUGGAGAGUCCGUGUUGAGAGGGUGCCCAGCCUAUGCUUGGUUCUACCCCGGGAAAGAACGAGUCAAACACAUCCUUAUAAAUCACGUUAGAAAAGAAGCUGACCCCAUCAUCAGCCAGACUGGAGGAAGCCCCGAAUCUCAGCUCAGACCUGAGUAAUCACCCAGCCAUCUCUGACUGCCAAUACUCGCUGAGUUCCAGCACCUCUACUCACCUAGGAGGUAGCUACUGUCAUCCUGCCAUGGACCUGCCCAGGAAACUGAGGCACAGAGGAAGUGAGUCCCUGG